GUAUAAAACCCCUUCAGCUUGGUGUCAAUGUGACGUUCCACCUGCAGUCCGUCAUCCCAGGUAUAAAACCCCCUUCAGCUUGGUGUCAAUGUGACGUUCCACCUGCAGUCCGUCAUCCCAGGUAUAAAACCCCCUUCAGCUUGGUGUCAAUGUGACGUUCCACCUGCAGCCCGUCAUCCCAGGUAUAAAACCCCUUCAGCUUGGUGUCAAUGUGACGUUCCACCUGCAGCCCGUCAUCCCAGGUAUAAAACCCCUUCAGCUUGGUGUCAAUGUGACGUUCCACCUGCAGCCCGUCAUCCCAGGUAUAAAACCCCUUCAGCUUGGUGUCAAUGUGACGUUCCACCUGCAGUCCGUCAUCCCAGGUAUAAAACCCCCUUCAGCUUGGUGUCAAUGUGACGUUCCACCUGCAGUCCGUCAUCCCAGGUACAGAUAAAACCCCUUCAGCUUGGUGUCAAUGUGACGUUCCACCUGCAGCCCGUCAUCCCAGGUAUAAAACCCCCUUCAGCUUGGUGUCAAUGUGACGUUCCACCUGCAGUCCGUCAUCCCAGGUAUAAAACCCCUUCAGCUUGGUGUCAAUGUGACGUUCCACCUGCAGUCCGUCAUCCCAGGUAUAAAACCCCCUUCAGCUUGGUGUCAAUGUGACGUUCCACCUGCAGCCCGUCAUCCCAGGUAUAAAACCCCCUUUAGCUUGGUGUCAAUGUGACGUUCCACCUGCAGCCCGUCAUCCCAGGUAUAAAACCCCUUCAGCUUGGUGUCAAUGUGACGUUCCACCUGCAGUCCGUCAUCCCAGGUAUAAAACCCCUUCAGCUUGGUGUCAAUGUGACGUUCCACCUGCAGUCCGUCAUCCCAGGUAUAAAACCCCCUUCAGCUUGGUGUCAAUGUGACGUUCCACCUGCAGUCCGUCAUCCCAGGUAUAAACCCCCUUCAGCUUGGUGUCAAUGUGACGUUCCACCUGCAGUCCGUCAUCCCAGGUAUAAAACCGCCUUCAGCUUGGUGUCAAUGUGACGUUCCACCUGCAGUCCGUCAUCCCAGGUACAGAUAAAACCCCCUUCAGCUUGGUGUCAAUGUGACGUUCCACCUGCAGUCCGUCAUCCCAGGUAUAAAACCCCUUCAGCUUGGUGUCAAUGUGACGUUCCACCUGCAGUCCGUCAUCCCAGGUAUAAAACCCCCUUCAGCUUGGUGUCAAUGUGACGUUCCACCUGCAGCCCGUCAUCCCAGGUAUAAAACCCCUUCAGCUUGGUGUCAAUGUGACGUUCCACCUGCAGUCCGUCAUCCCAGGUAUAAAACCCCCUUC